AUUGAACGCUGGCGGCAGGCCUAACACAUGCAAGUCGAGCGAGAGGCGGACGGGUGAGUAAUGUCUGGGGAACUGCCUGAUGUAGGGGGGUAACUACUGGAAACGGUAGCUAAUACCGCAUACCAUCAGAUGUGCCCAGAGGGGGUUAGCUAGAAGGUGGGGUAAUGGGUCACCUAGGCGACGAUCCCUAGAUGUGCUGAGAGGAUGACCAGCCAAACUGGAACUGAGACACGGUCCAGACUCCUACGGGAGGCAGCAGUGGGGAAUAUUGCACAAUGGGCGCAAGCCUGAUGCAGCCAUGCCGCGUGUGUGAAGAAGGCCUUCGGGUUGUAAAGCACUUUCAGCGGGGAGGCGUUACCCGCAGAAGAAGCACCGGCUAACUCCGUGCCAGCAGCCGCGGUAAUUC
rnacentral:rRNA from 1 species